ACGGCUCAGUAACACGUGGCUAAUCUGCCCUUGGGACCGGAACACCCCCGGGAAACUGGGGCUAAUUCUCGAUAGGUGAAGAACUCUGGAAUGAGUCUUUGCCAAAAAGACGUUUGCGUUAUGCUCGUAGGCGUCGCCCAAGGAUGAGGCCGCGACCGAUCAGGUUGUUGGUGAGGUAAUGGCUCACCAAGCCUUUUACCGGUGCGGGCCGUGAGAGCGGGAGCCCGGAGAUGGGCACUGAGACAAGGGCCCAGGCCCUACGGGGCGCAGCAGUCGCGAAAACUUUGCAAUACACGAAAGUGUGACAGGGCUAUCCCGAGUGCCAUCCGCUGAGGAAGGCUUUUACCCAGUCUAGAACGCUGGGGGAAUAAGGAGAGGGCAAGUCUGGUGUCAGCCGCCGCGGUAAUACCAGCUCUCCGAGUGGUGUGGAUGUUUAUUGGGCCUAAAGCAUCCGUAGCUGGCUAAGUUAGUCCCUUGUUAAAUCCACCGAAUUAAUCGUUGGAUUGCGGGGGAUACUGCUUGGCUAGGGGACGAGAGAGGCAGACGGUAUUUCCGGGGUAGGGGUGAAAUCCUAUAAUCCCGGGAAGACCACCAGUGGCGAAGGCUGUCUGCUAGAACGCGCCCGACGGUGAGGGAUGAAAGCUGGGGGAGCGAACCGGAUUAGAUACCCGGGUAGUCCCAGCUGUAAACGAUGCAGGCUAGGUGUUUGGACGGCCACGUGCCGUUCUAGUGCCGCAGGGAAGCUGUUAAGCCUGCCGCCUGGGGGAGUACGAUCGCAAGAUUGAAACUUUAAGGAAUUGGCGGGGGAGCAC
rnacentral:rRNA from 1 species